rnacentral:misc_RNA from 1 species
AGCAGCCGCGGUAAUUCCAGCUCCAAUAGCGUAUAUUAAAGUUGCUGCAGUUAAAAAGCUCGUAGUUGAAUUUCGGGACUAAUAUGUCGGUCGUGCCUCGGUACGUACUGGUUUAUUGGUUUCUCCUUUCUGAAGAACCAUGAUGUCAUUUAUUUGGUGUCGUGGGGAAUCAGGACUGUUACUUUGAAAAAAUUAGAGUGUUUAAAGCAGGCUCACGCUUGAAUACAUUAGCAUGGAAUAAUGAAAUAGGACGUUUGAUUCUAUUUUGUUGGUUUCUAGGAUCGACGUAAUGAUUAAUAGGGAUAGUUGGGGGCAUUAGUAUUCAAUUGUCAGAGGUGAAAUUCUUGGAUUUAUUGAAGACUAACUACUGCGAAAGCAUUUGCCAAGGAUGUUUUCAUUAAUCAAGAACGAAAGUUAGGGGAUCGAAGACGAUCAGAUACCGUCGUAGUCUUAACCAUAAACUAUGCCGACUAGGGAUCGGGAUGAUGUUAAUU